CAGAGAGGCAGGCAGGGAGAGAGGAGGGAGCAGGCUCCCUACUGAGCAGUGAGCCUAAUGCAGGGCUCCAUCCCAGGACUCUGGGAUGAUGACCUGAGCCGAAGGCAGAGGUUUUAACCCACUGAGCCACCCAGGCUCCCCUAUUGUUGUUGUUCUAUAGAAUAUUGUAGACUUUUAUAUUUAGCUUAUCUAUAUCUGAUUCUAAUAUUCAGCUUUUUAAAUUCAUCUCUAGAGGAUGUAUCCAAAACCCUCUUCCUCAGAUGUUCUUGGGUCCAGAUUUAUCAUCUUCCUGGUUCCCCCACUAAUUAAGGAGGAAAAUAUUUUUUUCAUUAUUACGAAGAAAAUUGUUGUAACUUGUGUCUUCUGACAUCUGUUCAAGUAUUUAACGUAAACUCUUCAG
rnacentral:lncRNA from 1 species